AGCGAACGCUGGCGGCAGGCCUAACACAUGCAAGUCGAACGAACCUUUCGGGGUUAGUGGCGGACGGGUGAGUAACACGUGGGAACGUGCCUUUAGGUUCGGAAUAACUCAGGGAAACUUGUGCUAAUACCGAAUGUGCCCUUCGGGGGAAAGAUUAAUCGCCUUUAGAGCGGCCCGCGUCUGAUUAGCUAGCUGGUUGAGGUAAUGGCUCACCAAGGCGACGAUCAGUAGCUGGUCUGAGAGGAUGAUCAGCCACAUUGGGACUGAGACACGGCCCAAACUCCUACGGGAGGCAGCAGUGGGGAAUCUUGCGCAAUGUGCGAAAGCCUGACGCAGCCAUGCCGCGUGAAUGAUGAAGGUCUUAGGAUUGUAAAAUUCUUUCACCGGGGACGAUAAUGACGGUACCCGGAGAAGAAGCCCCGGCUAACUUCGUG
rnacentral:rRNA from 1 species